rnacentral:snoRNA from 1 species
AGACCAUGAUGAGGACACUCUAAACGAAGAUAUUUGAAACGUUCCAUGCAUCAAGAAAAUGAUUCAUUGGGUCUUUGGAAAAAUUAGAGAAUGUCGUUCCUAAGCUU